GUCGCCAUCAGCUCAGUGGCAGAGCACUGGUCUUGUAAACCAGGGGUCGUGAGUCUGAUCGUCACAAGCGCUUUACA